GGGAAACUAAGUCACGUGAGAACCUGGGGACGCUAGGUUCCGGAACCUGACCUGAGCUGGGGCCUGUGCUUCCAGCGGGUGGUGGGGGGCCUGGUGUGCUGGCAUCAAGUAAGCCGACUACCUCGGCAAAGGCUUAGGGACAAGAGACCAGCAGCCUGAACUGGCUGGGGCAUCCGGAAGGCUUAGAUCUUGUGGCCAAGAGUUCAGACCGUGGCGAAGUGGAGAGUGACAUGCAGUUGGAUGGCGGUGACUGCGUGGUAUGGAAGAAAAUUCAGCUGAAAUUUGCUAGAAAAUGAGUUGUUUUGGAAAGAGACUGUAGAGAAAGGCAAAUGGAAGAAGAAAGCUUCUGUGCCCCCACAGAUACCGACUGAAAAGUGUUAGCAUGAGCAAAAGUUCCUAUCUAAUAUUAUAUGCUUUCCUUUGCUCCCAGCAUUCCACAAUCACGGGCUACUUCAAUUCUGCCUGCUGAGCUGAUUUAAUAAUCUGGAAGAGGAUUAUUCUCCCCCAUCUGGAAGAGGAUUAUUCUCUAUAAUCCCAGUUAGAGACACAAUGACAUAAACAUCGCUGUCCUGCAACCCUGGUUCCAGUCUGGCAAGCAUUGUAGACCUGGCUGCUGAAGACUGACGGGGCCCAGGGUCCGCUGCCCCCACCGCCAUCACCACCUCGGAACCCAGGGUAACGCUGUCAGUCUUUGAGCCUACGAGGAAACCAUUCGGAAGCUCCAGAACCCAGGCCCUAAUCACAACGCCCCUAUCCAGCAGGAAGCAGCCAGAUGAUCAACGACGCCCUUUUUCCUUUUUAUACUAAAGUAAGAAAUAAGAAUGUUAGCCCAAACUGCACUAUUUUGCAGACCCCUACCAUUUUACAAACUGGUCAGAGUGGAAAAUUCCACCAGGGCCUGAGCUGUGAGAAACAUCCUGUCAGGCAGGUCCCAGGCCUAACCCCUGGCUGCACUAAAUUCCUUCAUUAUCAGCAGCCAAACACACCGCCCCCACCCCAUUUUCACAACAAUCCCAGACCUCUCCUGCCCGGGACUGUAACUGGUCCAGCCUGUAAGCGGGAAGGGGGCUCUGGCACUAGCUGGUACCCCCUCUCCGCAGGUCUUUCUCCCAAUAAAUCUGUGUUGCCA
rnacentral:lncRNA from 10 species